GAGAAAGUAUGCAAGAACUGCUAAUUCAUGCCNCCAUGUCCAACAAANAUGGCUNUCUCA
rnacentral:tRNA from 1 species